UGCAUAUCAAUAAGCGGAGGAAAAGAAACCAACAGGGAUUACCUCAGUAACGGCGAGUGAAGCGGUAACAGCUCAAAUUUGAAAGCUGGCCCCCCCCGGGGCCCGCGUUGUAAUUUGCAGAAGAUGCUUCGGGCGUCGCCCCGGUCUAAGUUCCUUGGAACAGGACGUCAGAGAGGGUGAGAAUCCCGUACGGGACUGGACGCGUGCGCCCGGGUGAAGCUCUUUCGACGAGUCGAGUUGUUUGGGAAUGCAGCUCUAAAUGGGUGGUAUAUUUCAUCUAAAGCUAAAUACUGGCCAGAGACCGAUAGCGCACAAGUAGAGUGAUCGAAAGAUGAAAAGCACUUUGGAAAGAGAGUUAAACAGUACGUGAAAUUGUUGAAAGGGAAGCGCUUGCCCCCAGACUUGCGCGCCGCCGAUCACCCGGGCUUCUGCCCGGGGCACGCGGCGGCGCGCAGGCCAGCAUCGGUUCCGGUGGUGGGACAAAGGCCUUGGGAACGUAGCUCCCCUCGGGGAGUGUUAUAGCCCUCGGUGCAAUGCCGCCUACCGGGACCGAGGACCGCGCUCCGGCUAGGAUGCUGCGCAGCGACUUGCAAGCGACCCGUCUUGAAACACGGACCA
rnacentral:rRNA from 1 species